rnacentral:rRNA from 1 species
CGCUGGCGGCGUGCCUAACACAUGCAAGUCGAACGGAGUAUCAGCUGAAUUUCGGAUGGAAGUUGAAUAUACUUAGUGGCGGACGGGUGAGUAACGCGUGGGCAACCUACCCAUAAGCGGGGGAUAACAGUUGGAAACGGCUGCUAAUACCGCAUAAACUAUAGAGGUUGCAUGACCUUAAUAGUAAAGAUGGCCUCUUAACAAUGCUAUCACUUAUGGAUGGGCCCGCGUCUGAUUAGCUAGUUGGUGGGGUAAAAGCCUACCAAGGCAACGAUCAGUAGCCGGCCUGAGAGGGUGGACGGCCACACUGGGACUGAGACACGGCCCAGACUCCUACGGGAGGCAGCAGUGGGGAAUAUUGCGCAAUGGGGGCAACCCUGACGCAGCGACGCCGCGUGAGCGAAGAAGGCCUUAGGGUCGUAAAGCUCUGUUUUAAGGGACGAAUGUUCAUGUUAGUAACUGAGCAUGGAAUGACGGUACCUUAAGAGGAAGCCCCGGCUAACUACGUGCCAGCAGCCGC